rnacentral:tRNA from 1 species
CCUUCGAUAGCUCAGUUGGUAGAGCGGUGGACUGUAGUUGGGAUCAUUACGUUCAGUUAUCCAUAGGUCGCUGGUUCAAAUCCGGCUCGAAGGA